rnacentral:rRNA from 1 species
AUACGUGGGCCCCGAGCGUUGUCCGGAAUUAUUGGGCGUAAAGCGUACGCAGGCUGUUUAGUAGAUCUCUCUUUAAAUACCCCGGCUUAACUGGGGAAAGGGGAGGGAUAUCGCUAGACUUUGAAAUAGGAAGGGGAGAUCGGAACGCGUGGUGUAGCAGUGAAAUGUGUUGAUAUCACGCGGAACGCCGGCGACGAAGGUUGAUCUCUGGUCCUUAUUUGACGCUCAUGUACGAAAGCUAGGGUAGCGAAGCGGAUUAGAUACCCGCGUAGUCCUAGCCGUAAAUGAUGUCCGCUAGGCGUCGGUUUAAGCACUUUCUUUUCUUCGGAAGGGAUCGUGACAAAUCGGUGUCGUAGCUAACGCGUUAAGCGGACCGCCUGGGUAGUACGACCGCAAGGUUGAAACUCAAAGGAAUUGGCGGGGACCCGCACAAGCUGUGGAGCGCGUGGUUUAAUCCGACGAUAAUCGUAGAACCUUACCAAGGUUUGACAUACUGCUGCAAACUCCUAGAAACAGGAGAAGCUUUCGAAGGUGCAGUACAGGUGCUGCAUGGCCGUCGUCAGCUCGUGCCGUGAGGUGUACCGUUAAGUCGGGUAACGAGCGAAACCCCUAUCCCAUGUUACAAGUGUCUUGGGAAACUGCCGUGGUAAAACACGGAGGAAGGGGGGGAUGAUGUCUGGUCGUCAUGGCCCUUAUGCCUUGGGCUACACACACGCUACAAUGGUUGGGACAACGAGUUGCUAAACCGCGAGGUCAAGCUAAUCUCUUAAACCCAGCCUCAAUUCAGAUUGUAGGCUGAAACUCGCCUACAUGAAGCCGGAAUAGCUAGUAAUCGCAGAUCAGCCAAGCUGCGGUGAAUACGUUCUCGGGUCUUGCACACACCGCCCGUCAAACUCCCAAAGUUGGAACUACCUAAAGGUUUCGUUAAUUUAUUAUCGGGACUUAGGGUAGGGUCGGUAAUGGGGGUU